rnacentral:rRNA from 1 species
UACGUAGGGUGCGAGCGUUAAUCGGAAUUACUGGGCGUAAAGGGCUCGUAGGCGGCCAACUAAGUCCGACGUGAAAUCCCCAGGCUCAACCUGGGAACUGCGUCGGAUACUGGAUGGCUUGAAUUCGGGAGAGGGAUGCAGAAUUCCAGGUGUAGCGGUGAAAUGCGUAGAUAUCUGGAGGAAUACCGGUGGCGAAGGCGGCAUCCUGGACCGACAUUGACGCUGAGGAGCGAAAGCUAGGGGAGCAAACGGG